CCUAGAGUUGUAGGCUUUGCCUGCUAUCUCUUACCCAUGUCUUUUGAGUACCUUACGUUUCCUCGGCGGGUCCGCCCGCCGAUUGGACAAUUUAAACCAUUUGCAGUUGCAAUCAGCGUCUGAAAAACUUUAAUAGUUA
rnacentral:misc_RNA from 1 species